CCAUACAUUCAUUCAAACAUUAUUCAUUAAAUAUUACAUUCAAACAAAUUUCAUCCAACAUUACAUAUUAGAUCCAAGCUGGAAAUUUAUAUGCCCAGAGAUCCAGGUCAUAGCUGGAAAUUUACAUGCCGAGAGAUCCAGGUCAGAGCAGGAAAUUUACAUGCUGAGAGAUCCAGGUCAGGGCUGUCAUGACUUGAUGCAGGGCUGGAGUUCCACCGUAUUACUCAGCCCCGAGAAAUCGUAACAGGACUGGAAUCCCCCAUACAAGUCAACCUCCGGUAGUAUUUUGUCAGCGGAAACAUAUUUGUUUCCACUCACUGAUUUCAGUUGGACCUCUGUUCCAUCCUACAAUGCAACAACCAAAAACCUUUAACAGGUAUGCACACUCAACACACGCGCACAGAAGAAACCUGAAACCCCAUUUGCAGAGAGCUAUCUCCAUCAACAAGAUAAACCCCAAUUCUUUCAAUUCUUGAAUAAUGCACAAGCCAUGUUCUACAAUUAAAGUGUUGGGACAUAACUGCUCACCCAAAAAUCAUCAUAAAGUUGCUGACUAUCAAAUGCUCUUCCUGGCAGCAACUGCUCGCAUCCAAAACUACGAGCAAAACGUCAUUUAAAAACACAAUAAUAGACGAACAAAUUAAAUCAUGGAGUAAUUUGAAACUCGAUAUUGACGAGUUUGUAAGCUUGGACCAUUAUAUUACACCAUGAGUAAGGAGAAGAUUCAUUUAUUGUUCUGCCAAAACUCUGAGGUCUUGAAUAUAUCAGAUUUUCCCAGUUCAUUUAAAACCACUACAGCAGCCUACCAACAAAUUUUCAAGGUAUUUACUGAGCUCAAUAUGCUAUAUCUCAUAAUGCAUAUUCUCCAUCUAAGCAUGAUAGACAAACAUUACCAUUGCAUAAUCAAUUUAUUUCCAUCAAAACCAACAACAACCUAUGACUUUCACACGAGCUAAAUGCAGUGAGGAAUUCCUUGAUACAGUAGCAAGAGUUUAGUGCUUAGUGCUAUUUAUUGCAUAACAAUUAUAGAAAAAUGGAAACUGCACAAUAGAGCUAUAGAUUAACUUAGCUUUGGGAGGAGGGAAGGCCGACAGCCCUGUUUAGCCGAGCUGGGAUGAAGAUGACGACGACAACUCUUGCUGCCUCGGCGGAGUCCGAGAAAAACAGCAAC
rnacentral:lncRNA from 1 species